UAUAGAUAAUCAUAAUAUGGCAGAAGUGUUCAAGAAAUAUCUUUGUAGGUGUAUGUUUGGGCUUUUCCAGGGAGACAUCUAGACAUGGAAUUGCAGGGUCAUAGGUACACAUACCUUCACCUUUACUAGGUAUUACCAAGUUUUUGUCCAAAGUGCCUAUACCUGUUUUGCACUUCCACUAUCUAUCUAGGAAUUCCCAACUUGGCCC
rnacentral:lncRNA from 1 species